rnacentral:misc_RNA from 1 species
GAUGAAGAACGCAGCGAAAUGCGAUAAGUAAUGUGAAUUGCAGAAUUCAGUGAAUCAUCGAAUCUUGAACGCACAUUGCGCCCGCCAGUAUUCUGGCGGGCAUGCCUGUUCGAGCGUCAUUUCAACCAUCAAGCCCCCGGCUUGUGUUGGGGACCUGCGGCUGCCGCAGGCCCUGAAAAGCAGUGGCGGGCUCGCUGUCACACCGAGCGUAGUAGCAUACAUCUCGCUCUGGGCGUGCUGCGGGUUCCGGCCGUUAAACCACCUUCAUAACCCAAGGUUGACCUCGGAUCAGGUAGGAAGACCCGCUGAACUUAAGCAUAUCAAUAAGCGGAGGA